rnacentral:rRNA from 1 species
UACAGAGGUGGCAAGCGUUGUUCGGAAUUACUGGGCGUAAAGGGCGCGUAGGCGGCCUCGCAAGUCCCGUGUGAAAUCCCCGGGCUUAACCUGGGAACUGCAUUGGUGACUGGCGGGCUAGAGUAUGGCAGAGGGGGGUAGAAUUCCACGUGUAGCAGUGAAAUGCGUAGAGAUGUGGAGGAAUACCGAUGGCGAAGGCAGCCCCCUGGGCCAAUACUGACGCUCAUGCACGAAAGCGUGGGGAGCAAACAGG